GGUUCCAUAGUGUAGUGGUUAGUACGUCUGCUUGACAUGCAGGAGGUCCUGAGUUUGUGCCCCAGUGGAGCCA
rnacentral:tRNA from 1 species